rnacentral:tRNA from 1 species
UGGGGCGUAGACAAGCGGUAAGUCACCGGAUUUUGAUUCCGGCAUUCGUAGGUUCGAAUCCUACCGCCCCAACAA